UCCGGUUGAUCCUGCCGGAGGCUACUGCUAUCGGGGUUCGAUUAAGCCAUGCGAGUUAAAUGUUCUUCGUGAACAUAGCGAACUGCUCAGUAACACGUGGAUAACCUACCCUUAGGACCGGAAUAACCCCGGGAAACUGGGGAUAAUACCGGAUAAGCCAUAGACGCUGGAAUGCCCUAUGGUUCAAAGCUCCGGCGCCUAAGGAUGGAUCUGCGGUCUAUCAGGUUGUAGUGGGUGUAACGUACCUACUAGCCGACGACGGAUACGGGUUGUGAGAGCAAGAGCCCGGAGAUGGAUUCUGAGACACGAAUCCAGGCCCUACGGGGUGCAGCAGGCGCGAACACUUUACAAUGCGGGAAACCGCGAUAAGGGAACCCCGAGUGCCAGCAUCAAAUGUUGGCUGUCCGGAUGAUUAAAAAUCAUUUGUUAGCAAGGGCCGGGCAAGACCGGUGCCAGCCGCCGCGGUAACACCGGCGGCCCGAGUGGUAGCCGUUUUUAUUGGGUCUAAAGGGUCCGUAGCCGGCCUGAUCAGUCCUUUGGGAAAUCUGGCAGCUUAACUGUCAGGCUUCUAAGGGAUACUGUCAGGCUUGGGACCGGAAGAGGUAAGGGGUACUCCAGGGGUAGGAGUGAAAUCUUGUAAUCCCUGGGGGACCAUCUGUGGCGAAGGCGCCUUACCAGAACGGGUCCGACGGUGAGGGACGAAAGCUAGGGGAGCAAACCGGAUUAGAUACCCGGGUAGUCCUAGCUGUAAACGAUGCUCGCUAGGUGUCAGACACGGUGCGACCGUGUUUGGUGCCGCAGGGAAGCCGUUAAGCGAGCCACCUGGGAAGUACGGUCGCAAGGCUGAAACUUAAAGGAAUUGGCGGGGGAGCACUACAACGGG
rnacentral:rRNA from 1 species